AUUGAACGCUGGCGGCAGGCCUAACACAUGCAAGUCGAACGAGUGGCGGACGGGUGAGUAAUGUCUGGGAAACUGCCUGAUGGAGGGGGAUAACUACUGGAAACGGUAGCUAAUACCGCAUACCAUCAGAUGUGCCCAGAUGGGAUUAGCAUGUUGGUGGGGUAACGGCUCACCAAGGCGAGGAUCCCUAGCUGGUCUGAGAGGAUGACGAACCAAACUGGAACGGAGAAAGGGUCCAGACACCUACGGGAAGCAGCAGUGGGGAAGAUUGAACAAUGGACGCAAGCCUGAUGCAGACAGGCCGCGUGUAUGAAGAAGGCCUGCGGGUUGUAAAGUACUUGCAGCGGGGAGGAGUUAACCGCAGAAGAAGCACCGGCUAACUACGUGCCAGCAGCCGCGGUAAUUC
rnacentral:rRNA from 1 species